rnacentral:rRNA from 1 species
UACGUAGGAGGCGAGCGUUGUCCGGAGUUACUGGGCGUAAAGGGUGCGCAGGCGGCGGUUCGCGUGGCGAGAUGAAAUCUCCUGGCUUACCUGGGAGGAUGGUCGCCAGACGGGAUCGCUUGAGGGUCGGAGAGGGGCGUGGAAUUCCGGGUGGAGCGGUGAAAUGCGUAGAGAUCCGGAGGAACACCUGAGGCGAAGGCGGGUUGCUGGGCUGAUACUGACGCUGAGGCGCGAAAGCCAGGGGAGCAAACGGG